rnacentral:lncRNA from 1 species
UGUAACAUUGCUAUUUGCUCAAAUAUUUUUCCCCUAUAAUUCCUAUUCACGAAUGUUCUAUGUAACAAACAAGUUUCAAGGAAAUGCAGGCUUUUUCAUUGUUGAAGGCCGUACGGUGACCUAUAGUUGUUAAUGUCUGUGUCAUUUUGGUAUCUUGUGGACGGACAGUUGUCUCAUUGCCUAACAUACCACAUCUUCUUUUUUAUAUUGAACCUUUGAAAAAUAGAACAUAAUAUUUGUUUAAACCCUAUACAUUACAUUAUUUGUACUUGAUCUUAUAUUUAGUUUUUAGAGAAUAAAGUAUGUAUCUAUCUAUCUACAUGUGAAAAACUAAACUAAAAUGCUACAAGUACAAUUUGGUAUUUGUACCGUCGUGGUCUAUAUUAAAAAAGUAUAUCAAGUGAUUAAAUGAGUU